rnacentral:rRNA from 1 species
AUGCUUCUCCUUGAGACUAAGCCAUGCAUGCCUCCGAAUAAGACAAAGCAAUUCUCUCUGAAUCUGCGAACGGCUCCGCAAACCAGUUGUAAACUAUAGCAAGCAAGCCUGGGGGCCCCUUCACGGGGGCUUCUGGGCAAUAUGGAUAACCCUGGUAAUUCUGAGGCUAAUACAAGAACGUAAUCCCUGAUCGACCGGGCAACUGGAAGGUUGGGAGACGUGCGAGUGUUUCGCGAGGUUUUACCAGGAACGGGCGCAUGUCUGGACCGCGAUAAAGACAGAUGGGGCUUUCUCCCCUCCCCUCUUGGCCUUCACGGGCUGGGGGAGGGGGGGAGGGGGUUCUGCCUGAGCGGCUCUUGCUUUGUGCUUCUGACCUAUCAACUAGAUGGCAGCGUAACGAACAUGCUAUGGUUACAACGGGUACAGAGGAUUAGGGUUCGAUCCUGGAGAGUGGGCCUGAGAGAUUGCUCAUACUUCUAAGGAAGGCAGCAGGCGCGCAAAGUCCCCCUUGGGCAAUGCUUGAGGGCGUUAGGGGAAAUAUGAAUGCUUGCCUUUUAGGUGAGCAAUCAAAUGGUA